GAGGCCUUGCAUGCAGGCCUCCAGGCAGGUCCUGCAUGCCCGGUCACGCAAGUCCGCUGGGUGGUCAGUGCUGGGCUCCAGCAGCAUGGCCAGCCGGAACUCCUCGAGGGGCCAACAUCUCAACACAGCGCGGGUCACUUCUGCCUGCUCCAGCAGAUCCUGAGCAUCUGGAGACAUCCCAGGAUUUACACCAGACACUUCAAGAACUUUGCCUACUGAGAUGCGAGACAGCCAGAGAAUGUUGACUGAAAUGAUUAUUAAAAUCUUUCCACCUAA